AACGAACGCUGGCGGCAGGCCUAACACAUGCCAGUCGAACGCCCCGCAAGGGGAGUGGCAGACGGGUGAGUAACACGUGGGAACCUUCCCUAGAGUACGGAAUAGCCCAGGGAAACUUGGAGUAAUACCGUAUACGCCCGAAAGGGGAAAGAAUUUCGCUAUAGGAUGGUCCCGCGUAGGAUUAGCUAGUUGGUGAGGUAAUGGCUCACCAAUGCGACGAUCCUUAGCUGGUUUGAGAGAACGACCAGCCACACUGGGACUGAGACACGGCCCAGACUCCUACGGGAGGCAGCAGUGGGGAAUAUUGGACAAUGGGCGCAAGCCUGAUCCAGCCAUGCCGCGUGAGUGAUGAAGGCCUUAGGGUUGUAAAGCUCUUUUGGCGGGGACGAUAAUGACGGUACCCGAAGAAUAAGUCCCGGCUAACUUCGUG
rnacentral:rRNA from 1 species